rnacentral:rRNA from 1 species
GUAGGGUCCGAGCGUUAUCCGGGAUCAUUGGGCGUAAAGAGCUCGUAGGCGGUUCAGCAAGUCGGCUGUGAAAGUUCGAGGCUCAACCUCGAAAUUGCAGUCGAUACUGCUGUGACUUGAAUUCGGUAGAGGAGAAUGGAAUUCCCGGUGUAGCGGUGAAAUGCGCAGAUAUCGGGAGGAACACCAGUAGCGAAGGCGGUUCUCUGGGCCGAUAUUGACGCUGAGGAGCGAAAGCGUGGGGGAGCAAACAGGAUUAGAUACCCUGGUAGUCCACGCCGUAAACGUUGGAUGCUAGGUGUGGCGGUCUACCAACGACUGCCGUGCCGAAGCUAACGCAUUAAGCAUCCCCGCCUGGGAGUACGGCCGCAAGGCUA